UACGAAGGGGGCUAGCGUUGUUCGGAUUUACUGGGCGUAAAGCGCACGUAGGCGGAUUGUUAAGUCAGGGGUGAAAUCCUGGAGCUCAACUCCAGAACUGCCUUUGAUACUGGCAAUCUUGAGUCCGGAAGAGGUGAGUGGAACUCCUAGUGUAGAGGUGGAAUUCGUAGAUAUUAGGAAGAACACCAGUGGCGAAGGCGGCGCACUGGUCCGGUACUGACGCUGAGGUGCGAAAGCGUGGGGAGCAAACAGG
rnacentral:rRNA from 1 species